rnacentral:rRNA from 1 species
GACGAACGCUGGCGGCGUGCUUAACACAUGCAAGUCGAGCGGAAAGGCCCUUCGGGGUACUCGAGCGGCGAACGGGUGAGUAACACGUGGGUAACCUGCCCCUUGCUCUGGGAUAACUCCGGGAAACCGGGGCUAAUACCGGAUAUGACACUUGAAGGCAUCUUUUGGGUGUGGAAAGUUUUUCGGCGAGGGAUGGACCCGCGGCCUAUCAGCUUGUUGGUGGGGUAAUGGCCUACCAAGGCAGUGACGGGUAGCCGGCCUGAGAGGGCGACCGGCCACACUGGGACUGAGACACGGCCCAGACUCCUACGGGAGGCAGCAGUGGGGAAUAUUGCGGCAAUGGGCGAAAGCCUGACGCAGCGACGCCGCGUGAGGGAUGACGGCCU